GGCUGGCCCAAGUACAGAGGUGUUUACAACCAAUUGAUUACCAGUUACAGAUGUCUUUGUUCCUGCUCCACUCCCACUGUUUCAUUUGACUAGCCUUUU
rfam:Callithrix jacchus chromosome 15, whole genome shotgun sequence